GAUGAACGCUAGCUACAGGCUUAACACAUGCAAGUCGAGGGACCGGCGCACGGGUGAGUAACACGUAUCCAACCUGCCCUUUACUCGGGGAUAGCCUUUCGAAAGAAAGAUUAAUACCCGAUAUCAAGGAUGGGGAUGCGUUCAAUUAGGUUGUUGGUGAGGUAACGGCCCACCAAGCCUUCGAUGGAUAGGGGUUCUGAGAGGAAGGGACCCUGCAUUGGAACUGAGACCCGGUCCAAACUCCGACGGGAGGCAGCAGUGAGGAAUAUUGGUCAAGGGGCGUUAGCCUGAACCAGCCAAGUAGCGUGAAGGAUGAAGGCUUAUGGGUCGUAAACUUCUGUUAUAUAAGAAUAGGUAUUAUAUGAAUAAGGAUCGGCUAACUCCGUGCCAGCCGCCGCGGUAAUUC
rnacentral:rRNA from 1 species